rnacentral:sRNA from 1 species
UGUUACAAGGGUUGCGCCGAUGGACAGA